GACGAACGCUGGCGGCGUGCUUAACACAUGCAAGUCGAACGGAAAGGCCCUGCUUUUGUGGGGUGCUCGAGUGGCGAACGGGUGAGUAACACGUGAGUAACCUGCCCUUGACUUUGGGAUAACUUCAGGAAACUGGGGCUAAUACCGGAGAGGAGCUCCUGCUGCAGGGUGGGGGUUGGAAAGUUUCGGCGGUGGGGGAUGGACUCGCGGCUUAUCAGCUUGUUGGUGGGGUAGUGGCUUACCAAGGCUUUGACGGGUAGCCGGCCUGAGAGGGUGACCGGCCACAUUGGGACUGAGAUACGGCCCAGACUCCUACGGGAGGCAGCAGUGGGGAAUAUUGCACAAUGGGCGGAAGCCUGAUGCAGCAACGCCGCGUGCGGGAUGACGGCCUUCGGGUUGUAAACCGCUUUCGCCUGUGACGAAGCGUGAGUGACGGUAAUGGGUAAAGAAGCACCGGCUAACUACGUG
rnacentral:rRNA from 1 species